GAUGAAGAACGCAGCGAAAUGCGAUAAGUAAUGUGAAUUGCAGAAUUCAGUGAAUCAUCGAAUCUUUGAACGCACCUUGCACCCUUUGGCAUUCCGAAGGGUAUGCUCGUUUGAGUGUCAUUGUACUCUCACACUUCCGAUCUUUGGAUUGGGAGCGGUGGACUUGGGUGUUGCUGCUUACUGUGGCUCACCUCAAAUCGAUUCGUGCACCUCUUGGUUGGACAUAGUACGGCGUGAUAAGUGUCUUCGCCGGCACCUCAGUAGAGGGUGGCUGAUCGGGAGCUCUGCUUCAAACCGUCCUCGGACAACAACUGACAACUUGACCUCAAAUCGAGUAGGACUACCCGCUGAACUUAAGCAUAUAAAUAAGCGGAGGA
rnacentral:misc_RNA from 1 species